UAGGACUACAGAAUACAGCCUAGCCCUGUGCAGCUCCAAAGCAGAGGCAUUCUACCCACACAUCCAUGCCGAAAUCAGAGCCAGGAAAGCCCUACUAGGUCAUGCAGACCACACCCCUUUUAGAGCAGGAAAGUCCUCUCCAAUUGACAUUUCAGCUCCUCUUCUGGCUCCAAAGUGUGGUCGUGCUUCAGUGGUUCCUGUGCAUGGUUUGAAUAACAGUUUAUAAGCAUUCUGGGAUCCCUUGAAAAUAAAGGUUCCAUAUAAAGUUAUAUUGCUAUUUUGUUUAUUAUAAAAGUUUUUUUUUUCCUUUUUAAUCUUCCUGGGAUUAGUCACAAGGAAAUUUCUCAAAGAGGAAAUUGUAUGAGCAAGCCUUUUGACCUGAUUUUUAUCAA
rnacentral:lncRNA from 1 species